GUCUCAAGUCACAUUUGUGUGCAACUUAAAGUUAUACUCCGUAAGAUUUUCAUCUAUUUAAUUGCCUUUUAAGUUACUAUCUAUCAAAGAGUGAGUUAAAACAAUGGUGAUUGAUCAUAUGACCCACUAAUGAAAGCACUUCUACUUGCCUUUUUGCCGAGUAUUUCAAUAUCUGUGUCUGUGGCGACAUUCCCGGGCUAGAUGUAAAUAGGCCGCCAUGUUAGUGACGCUGCUGACAGCGGUCGGUACAAUUUGUUUAAUGUUGAUAAUAGUUGUUUUUGUCAUUUUCAGAUGAAACUGAUCUCAUUGUGUCUUGAGAUUUGACCUAUAUCAUGAUUGUUUUAAUUUUUUUCCGGUUUCCUUUUCCAGCAGAAAAUGGCACCUGAUGUCAGCGAACAGCUGAUACCUGAUGUCAGCGAGCAGCUGACACCUGAUGUCAGGGACAGACCUCAGCAGCAAUUGGCACCUGAUGUUAGCCAGCCGAUUGUCGAAGAAAGCGACAGACCUCAGGUAGGGGCCAGUUUAUAAAAUACUACUUAAAGACCUGUUGAGCAAGAAUUUCUUUAUUGAAAUAGCAGAAAAUUCUCCAAAAAUGGUCCUACUCAUUCAUUCCUGUGUGACAGUGUGUGUGUCCACAGAGAGCCUGCCUUCCGCCUGUAUUUUCUUAUUUCUUAGUGUUGGGGGUGUAUGCCUGCCACCUAAACCACUGCUGAAUCCUUUUAUAUUAGUAUGUAUUAUUGUCCAGUGUUUCUCUU